UACGUAGGUGGCAAGCGUUGUCCGGAAUUACUGGGCGUAAAGGGCGUGUAGGCGGCUAUUUAAGUCAGAUGUGAAAAGCCAGGGCUUAACCCUGGACCUGCAUUUGAGACUGGAUGGCUUGAGGAUCGGAGAGGGCAGUGGAAUUCCCAGUGUAGCGGUGAAAUGCGUAGAUAUUGGGAGGAACACCAGUGGCGAAGGCGACUGCCUGGACGACACCUGACGCUGAGGCGCGAAAGCUAGGGGAGCAAACGGG
rnacentral:rRNA from 1 species